UACGUAGGGGGCGAGCGUUAUCCGGAAUUAUUGGGCGUAAAGGGCGUGUAGGCGGGUAUUUAAGUCAGAUGUGAAAACCCGGGGCUCAACUUCGGGCAUGCAUCUGAAACUGGAUACCUUGAGGGCAGGAGAGGAAAGUGGAAUUCCUAGUGUAGCGGUGAAAUGCGUAGAUAUUAGGAGGAACACCAGUGGCGAAGGCGACUUUCUGGACUGCAACUGACGCUGAGGCGCGAAAGCGUGGGGAGCAAACAGG
rnacentral:rRNA from 1 species